UACGUAGGUGGCAAGCGUUGUCCGGAUUUACUGGGCGUAAAGAGCGCGCAGGCGGCUGGGUAAGUCCGAUGUGAAAGCUUCCGGCUUAACUGGAAAAUUGCAUCGGAAACUGCUCGGCUUGAAGGUGGGAGAGGGUAGCGGAAUUCCCGGUGUAGUGGUGAAAUGCGUAGAUAUCGGGAGGAACACCAGUGGCGAAGGCGGCUACCUGGCCCACUCUUGACGCUGAGGCGCGAAAGCUAGGGGAGCAAACGGG
rnacentral:rRNA from 1 species